CUUCUUCCAUUGCUCCAUGGUCCAGUUCUGGCAUCCACGUCCCCAUUAUAGAAGCGGUGGACAGGGAUCAUCAUGGAACCAUGUGUGUACCAACACCAUGUGUUGUGACACCUUUCAGUGACAGCAUUACGUUUUUCAUCUAUUUGAGCUACAGUAUCUCUUCUGUGUGAUCCGACCACACAGGCUAGCCUUCACUCCCCACGUGCAUCAAUGAGUCUGAUGCCGGUUUACUUGUUGCCCUUCCUUACAACACUUUUUGUGGGUACUAACUACUGCAUACCAAGAACACCUCACAAGACUUACUGUUUUGGAGAUGCUUUGACCCAGUCAUCUAGCCAUCACUAUUUGGCCCUUGUCAAAGUCACUUUUCGCUUGCCCAUUUUUCCUCCUUCCAACACAAGAAAUUCAAGAACUGACUGUUCACUUGCUGCCUAAUAUAUCCCACCGCAUGACAGGUGCUAUUGUAAUGAUAUAAUCAAUUAUAUAAUCAAUGUUAUUCACGUCACCUGUCAGUGGUUUUAAUGUUGUGACUG